rnacentral:rRNA from 1 species
GGUUAAGUGACUAAGCGUACACGGUGGAUGCCUUGGCAGUCAGAGGCGAUGAAAGACGUAGUAACUUGCGAUAAGCCCAGAUUAGGUAGUAACAACCAUUUGAGUCUGGGAUUUCUGAAUGGGGAAACCCACUUACAUAAGUAAGUAUCGCUGCGUGAAUACAUAGCGCAGCGAGGCGAACCGGGGGAACUGAAACAUCUAAGUACCCCGAGGAAAAGAAAUCAACCGAGAUUCCGAAAGUAGCGGCGAGCGAAAUUGGACUAGCCCUUAAGCUUUACACGCGUUAGACGAACGGUCUGGAAAGUCCGACGAUACAGGGUGAUAGUCCCGUAGUUGACGACGUGUGUUCAGUGAAAUCGAGUAGGGCGGGACACGUGAUAUCCUGUCUGAAUAUGGGGGGACCAUCCUCCAAGGCUAAAUACUACUGACUGACCGAUAGUGAACCAGUACCGUGAGGGAAAGGCGAAAAGAACCCCUGUGAGGGGAGUGAAAUAGAACCUGAAACCGUGUACGUACAAGCAGUAGGAGCAGGCUUGUCCUGUGACUGCGUACCUUUUGUAUAAUGGGUCAGCGACUUAUAUUCAGUGGCAAGGUUAACCAUCUAGGGGAGCCGUAGGGAAACCGAGUCUUAACUGGGCGUUCAGUCUCUGGAUAUAGACCCGAAACCAGGUGAUCUAGCCAUGGGCAGGUUGAAGGUUGAGUAACAUCAACUGGAGGACCGAACCGACUAAUGUUGAAAAAUUAGCGGAUGACUUGUGGCUAGGGGUGAAAGGCCAAUCAAACCUGGAGAUAGCUGGUUCUCCCCGAAAGCUAUUUAGGUAGCGCCUCGGACGAAUACUACUGGGGGUAGAGCACUGUUAAGGCUAGGGGGUCAUCCCGACUUACCAACCCUUUGCAAACUCCGAAUACCAGUAAGUACUAUCCGGGAGACACACGGCGGGUGCUAACGUCCGUCGUGGAGAGGGAAACAACCCAGACCGCCAGCUAAGGUCCCAAAUUACUACUAAGUGGGAAACGAUGUGGGAAGGCUCAGACAGCCAGGAUGUUGGCUUAGAAGCAGCCAUCAUUUAAAGAAAGCGUAAUAGCUCACUGGUCGAGUCGGCCUGCGCGGAAGAUGUAACGGGGCUAAGUAGUAAACCGAAGCUGCGGCAAUAUACUUUUGUAUAUUGGGUAGGGGAGCGUUCUGUAAGCGGUUGAAGGUGUGUGGUAACGCAUGCUGGACGUAUCAGAAGUGCGAAUGCUGACAUGAGUAACGAUAAAGGGGGUGAAAAACCUCCUCGCCGGAAGACCAAGGGUUCCUGUCCAACGUUAAUCGGGGCAGGGUAAGUCGACCCCUAAGGCGAGGCCGAAAGGCGUAGUCGAUGGGAAACGGGUUAAUAUUCCCGUACUUCUUACAAUUGCGAUGGGGGGACGGAGAAGGCUAGGUGGGCCUGGCGACGGUUGUCCAGGUUCAAGUGCGUAGGCUUAAGAGUUAGGUAAAUCCGGCUCUUUUUAAGGCUGAGACACGACGUCGAGCACCUACGGGUGUGAAGUCAUUGAUGCCAUGCUUCCAGGAAAAGCCUCUAAGCUUCAGAUUGUAAGGAAUCGUACCCCAAACCGACACAGGUGGUCGGGUAGAGAAUACCAAGGCGCUUGAGAGAACUCGGGUGAAGGAACUAGGCAAAAUGGUACCGUAACUUCGGGAGAAGGUACGCUCUUGAUGGUGAAGUCCCUUGCGGAUGGAGCUGACGAGAGUCGCAGAUACCAGGUGGCUGCAACUGUUUAUUAAAAACACAGCACUGUGCAAAAUCGUAAGAUGACGUAUACGGUGUGACGCCUGCCCGGUGCCGGAAGGUUAAUUGAUGGGGUUAGACUUCGGUCGAAGCUCUUGAUCGAAGCCCCGGUAAACGGCGGCCGUAACUAUAACGGUCCUAAGGUAGCGAAAUUCCUUGUCGGGUAAGUUCCGACCUGCACGAAUGGCGUAAUGAUGGCCACGCUGUCUCCACCCGAGACUCAGUGAAAUUGAAAUCGCUGUGAAGAUGCAGUGUACCCGCGGCUAGACGGAAAGACCCCGUGAACCUUUACUACAGCUUGGCACUGAACAUUGACCCUACAUGUGUAGGAUAGGUGGGAGGCUUUGAAGCAAGUACGCCAGUAUUUGUGGAGCCGUCCUUGAAAUACCACCCUUGUAGUGUUGAUGUUCUAACGUCGACCCCUAAUCGGGGUUGCGGACAGUGCCUGGUGGGUAGUUUGACUGGGGCGGUCUCCUCCCAAAGAGUAACGGAGGAGCACGAAGGUGGGCUAAUCACGGUUGGACAUCGUGAGGUUAGUGCAAUGGCAUAAGCCCGCUUGACUGCGAGAAUGACAAUUCGAGCAGGUGCGAAAGCAGGUCAUAGUGAUCCGGUGGUUCUGAAUGGAAGGGCCAUCGCUCAACGGAUAAAAGGUACUCCGGGGAUAACAGGCUGAUACCGCCCAAGAGUUCAUAUCGACGGCGGUGUUUGGCACCUCGAUGUCGGCUCAUCACAUCCUGGGGCUGAAGUCGGUCCCAAGGGUAUGGCUGUUCGCCAUUUAAAGUGGUACGCGAGCUGGGUUUAGAACGUCGUGAGACAGUUCGGUCCCUAUCUGCCGUGGGCGUUGGAAGAUUGAAGGGGGCUGCUCCUAGUACGAGAGGACCGGAGUGGACGAACCUCUGGUGUUCGGGUUGUGUCGCCAGACGCAUUGCCCGGUAGCUAAGUUCGGAAUCGAUAACCGCUGAAAGCAUCUAAGCGGGAAGCGAGCCCUGAGAUGAGUCUUCCCUGAUACUUUAAGUAUCCUAAAGGGUUGUCGGAGACUACGACGUUGAUAGGUCAGGUGUGUAAGUGCUGUGAGGCAUUGAGCUAACUGAUACUAAUUGCCCGUGAGGCUUAACCAU